UUCUGUUGUAGAAUGUUUGUUCUUUCACUAUUUGCAAUUUUUUGCAGUGGGUCUUGUUAUUGUUAACGCUGGAUCCACACUGCCUUUAUGAGCUGUAACACUCACCACGAAGGUCUGCAGCUUUACUUUUGAAGCCAGGGAGACCACGAACUCACCGGGAGGAAUGAACAACUCCAGACGCGCCGCGUUAAGAGCUGUAACACACCGCAAAGGUCUGCAGCUUCACUCUUGAGCCGCCGAGACCACGAACCCACCAGAAGGAAUUUCGGACACACCGCUUUUAAGAACUGUAACACUCACCGCGAGGGUCCAGGCUUCAUUCUUGAAGUUAGUGAGACCAAGAACCCACCGAUUCCGGACACAACAUGAAAAGACAAUGAGAGAGCAGCCAGAGGGGUGGAAAGGGGAGCACGUGACCUUGCAAGAGGCAGGGAGAGAGAGAACACUGCGUCCGCUCCCUUUUAGAGCAGCUCAAUAUAGAGAAUCCCUAACGAGGACUUCCAGGAUAUCUUAGGGACAGCAGAGCCUCAAGAUCCAGGGAGGAUCCUGGAUACCUGAGGAGUCACCACUUGGAGGAGAAUCUCCUGGAAGAACUGAUUGAUCAGCAACAUCUACAUUCAACUUGAGCCUAAAUCAGCAUCCAGCGGCCUUGAGGAAAAAGACUGAGGUUGCUACAGAGGAGAGCGGAAAGAAAAAGGGAGCUAACGUUCAGCUUUUGAUAUUCAAAAUGCGAUUUCUUGGCAAAAUAAUAGGAGAGGAAAAAAUUUUUCCAAGUUUCUUUAGCUCCUGUUUAACAGAUCAAGACUGGCUUUGAUGUGUUGCUCCAAUUCCCCUACCCCCUCCUGCCCUGCUUAGGCCUUGCCUCUUGGUUACAUAGAGGGAGCAGUUGUGGGGAGGAAGAGGCCACCUCUGCUGGUCUACUGUCAAGGUAUUAUCUGGGGCUGGGGUAUCAUCUGAAGGCUCAACUGGGGAAAGAUCCACAUCUAAGCUCGUGUGAUUGUGGGGGAGGAAGGGAGGAAGAAGGAUAGAAAGGGAGGUGCUGUGCUUUCUUCCCUGAGCCUUGGGAGGUGGGAGGUCUGGAGGCGGCCUUGACACCAGCCUGCUAGGAGGUUAUGGGACCUGAGGGGCAGGGGAAAGCUUUUGCCCAGCUACAGGUGGAGUGUGGUCACAUCUCACAUGCUCAGCCUGGUUGGGCUGAAGGAGGCCUGAACAUUUCCAUCCUCAAGCUGACCUCAGUUUAUGCUUGUUAGAAUAGCUGACGGAUUGCUGAGAAGCUGGCUACUGGGGAGGACAGUCAUUGUGGGCUGGCCAGGAAGGCUGCCUCUUCCAACAUCCCCAAGGCAACCACUCUAUGUCAGCAAGGACUCCUGAACCCAUGGCAACCCACCAGCUGCUGCUCUGGGAAGUGACACCUUACCAGCUUGCUGCCUCCCCAGCAAUGCAGCUGCCCUGCUGGUCAGGACAACCUCUCAGGAGGGUAUCAGGCCCUGGUGUACAUUCCUUUCUUCUAGAAAAAGACAAACAGUGCAAUCACCACAGCCUGCCACUUCUCCUUCUUAGAUCUCACAUCGGAUUCACAGGGGCUUCUUGGGAACAUAAUUCUGUUGAGCCUUAGAAAUCAGGGAGAAGUUAGUGUGGCAUUUCACGCAGAUCAUUACGGCAAACGGAGUUUGCAGCAGGACCGACAGGUCACCUUCAGGGUCCUUGAUGAAGUUCAUUCUUUCAGGGCCACAGAAGCUUAGAACACUCCUUAAUCAUAGGUGCCAAGAGGAAAAGCACAGCAGAGAAUGCUAAGCCUAAGGAUGUGACUGGAGAAUCUCCUGAAGUUAUAGAUCCUGCAGGCAGGGCUGGCUUCAGGGAAGUGCAACCUGUGCAGUCACAUUGGUCCACAUGCUUGGAAGAGGCCCCUUAUUUUCACUUUGCACUGAGUCCUCAAGUUACGUGACUGGUCGGUCCUACCGCAUAAGGCAUGGAUUGCAAAGGAGAACAAAAAAUCAACGGAGGUGAUCGACUUUGAGCUGAAGCUGGGAGAGGAGGACGAUGGUGCCAUCAACAGAAAAAGAUCAGCCGAAGAGCUACAUUUGGGUGGAAGAAAAUGUUAAAUUUGGAUGUGGCCCCAUUGCGUUAGCUUUCCCCAAGCUCACAGGGAGGCAGUGCCUUCUGUCUCCCAGGUGGCAGCCUGUGUAAACACACACACCUGGAGAUGGGCUUGUGUCAGAUAUGUCUCAUACAUGGCUUCAGUCCUCUGGGGACCUCUUUCUUCAGCUACUGAGGCAGCAACCAGUUCUGUGCGAGCUCCCAUUGCCUUUCUCAGAACCUGUCCCAUCCAGGACUCCCCUUGUGUCCUGUUCCUUUCUGACAGCAUGGUGUGGGCUGUCCUAGGAGCCUGCUCUAGAAUCCUGCACAUGCAGCCUGGAAGCAUCGGGAAGUUAAUACCAGUGGAGCCACCCUUGACCUCAGGGCUCAGUAGCUGAUUGAUGGUUAAAUUCUUUCCCCUUUUGUUCCCUGGACAAAAAUUUCCCCUAGUUUUGCAGGAUUGAGCACUGGAUGCCUGUAGCCACAGCCAAUUCCAAACAGAGCACAUCUUUGAGUUGGCUUUUUCUCCUUCCCUGCUGCUCCCUGAGGACACACCUGUAAAUAAACUUGUGCCAAGGAGACUCUACAAUGAUGCCCAAUCACCCCUUUCUCCUGAAAUUGAUUGUGCAAUUCUCUCCCCUUGGGUGUGGGCUCAGCUACUUGCCUUUAACCAAUAGAAUAUGGAAAAAGUGAUGGGAUGUCCCUUCGAUGAUGAAGUUAUAAGGAGAAUAACUUCUGUCAUGUUACAGAGUCUUUCUAUUGCCUUCUUGGCUGGCAGGCUUUGAUGACCCAGGCUGCCAUAUUGAAGAUGCCCACAUGGCCAGGAGCUGGGACCUUUAUUCUAACAACCCUCAAGCAGCUGAAUCCUGCCAAUAAUCGUGAGCUUGGACAUGGGUCCUUCCCUACUUGAACCUUCAGGUGAGACCCCAGCCCCAGCUGAUACUUUGACUGCAGCUUUGUGAGAGACCCUGAGACAGAGGACCGAGAUGAGUCAUGCCUUGGCUGCUGGCCCACAGAAACUAUGAGAUCAAAAUGAUGUGUUGUUUUAAGCCAUUAACUGUGUGGUAACUUGUUAAACAGUGUAUUAGGCCAUUUGUGUUGCUACAAAGGAAUACCCGAGGCUGAGUAGUUUAUUAAGAAAAGAGGUUUAAUUGACUCAUGGUUCUGCAGGCAAUAUGAGAAGCGUGGUGCCAAUAUCUGCUUGGCUUCUGGUGUGGCCUCAAGAAGCUUACAAUCACAGCAGAAGGUGACAGUGGAGCCAGCAUGUUACAUGGCAAGAACAGGAACAAAGAGAGAGGAGAGGGAGCCAGGUUCCUUUAAACAGCCAGCUCUCCAGUGAAUCAGCAGAGCAAGAACUCACUCAUUGCCAUAGGGAGGGCACCAGGCCAUUCAUGAGGGACCCACUCCCAUGACCUAAAUACCACCACGAGGACCCGCUUCCAACAUGGGGAUUACAUUUUAACAUGAGACUUGGAGGGGACAAAACAUCCAAACCAUAUUCCAUAGCGACAGGUAACCAAUACACCACAUGUACCAAAGCCUUGGUCUAAGGCCCUGUCUUCAUAGAGCCCAGGCUGUCGUGUGGUCUGCACUGAGCUCACCCUCCAGGAGGCAUCCUAGAGGUCUUAGCACCUCCUUCUCUUACCCACAGGACAGAUAUCUUGCCCAGUCUUUCUGAAUGCUCAGCUGGCCGAGGAUGCCUUUCUUUGCUUUUCCCCUCUGUAUGGGGGCUGGAGGUAGGUGAACCCCUUGGUGAACAGGGUCUCUCCCCUGGGUUGUGCCCAGUUGCAGUUCACACCCCCUUCCCCAUGCUUUGUGCCUGUCUCCCAGUUGCUGGGUGGUCAGGGGAGACUCUGCAGAAGGGGCAGGUGCCUGUGCCUCUGGAUGGUUCCACUGAAGAACUGAUGUAAGGGAUGAUGUGUGGGGACUGUAGGGCUUCCAGGAUCAGGAAGUGGGCAAUAGAAGCACCUAGGCAAUAUGGCCCCAAGCUCCUGAAGACCACCUUCUCCUGUCUCCCUCCUCUCACCCCCAAAACAACAGACAAGCAAACCUACCCUGAAACAGUGUCGUCACCACACGAGGCACUGUGCCCAUGCAGUAUCCCAUCUGGUGCCAGCCUCAGAGGGAGGUGUCUUCAUGCCCCUGUAACAGAUGGGAAAGGCAGCAUGGUGAGUGACUGCUGGGAAGUCACAGGGCAGCAUUCGGCCCAGGUCUGUCACACCAAAGUCUGCAUGCUCUUCAGACUCCAUCUGGAAGGCUCCUCCCCUCGGCCUAAUGUCUCAGGCACACAGCAGCCAACUCAAGAUGAGGGUCCCUAUUUGGAGAGUCUGGAUCCGCGUUUCACAGUGUGGUCAGUCCACGGGCCAAUCGCUUCAGCAUCAGUGUCUCCUGGGGUCUUUCCAGCAACUGCAGAUCCCCAGGCCUCACCCCAGACCUGCUGUCUCGGUCAGCUAGGGCUACUGUAACUACAGACCAUAGACUGGGGUUUAAACAACAAGCAUUGAUUUUCUCAUUGUUCUGGAGGCUGAAAGCCUGAGAUCAGGGAGCCAGCAUGGUUGCGGGCUGGGGAUGCUCUCUUCCAAGCGUGUAGAGGGCUGCCUUCUCAAUAUGUCCUCACAUGGUGGGGUGGGGUGGGGAGGGAGAGAGAGAGAGAAAGGGAGAGAGAGAGAAGGGGAGAGAGACAGAAGGGGAAAGAGAAAGGGAGAGAGAGAGAGAGAAGGGGAGAGACAAGGGGAAAGAGAAGGGAGAGAGGGAGAGAGAGAGAAGAAGAGAAAAAGAGAGGGGGAGAGGCCGGGUGUGGUGACUCAUGGCUGUAAUCCCAGCGCUUUGGGAGGCUGAGGCAGACAGAUUGCCUGAGCUCAGGAGUUCGAGACCAGCCUGGGCAACAUGGUGAAACCCACCCCAUCUCUACAAAAAAGAACACACACACACACACACACACGCUGGGCGUGGUGGUGCAUGCCUGUAAUCUGUAAUCCCAGCUUCUCAGGAGGCUGGGGCAGGAGAAUCGCUUGAACCCGGGAGGCGGAGCCUUCAGUGAGCCGAGAUCGUGCUAGUGCACUCCAGCCUGGGUGACAGAGUGAGACUCCUUCCCUUCCAAAAAAAAAAAAAAAGGGAGAGAGAGAAAGAUGGAGAGGGAAAAAGAGGGAGAGGGAGAAAGAGAGGAGAUAAAGACGGAGAGGGAAAAAGAGGGAGAGGGAGAAAGAGGAGAGAGGGAGAGGGAGAAGGGGAGAGAGAGGGAAAAGGAGAAAGGGAGACGGAGAGAGAGAAAGAAGGAGACAGGGAGAGAAAGAGGGAGAGCAGGUUCUCUGGUUUAUGAGAGCACUGAUCUCGUUAUGAGGGCCCGGCUUUCAUGACUUUAAUUAUCCCCCCAAAAACUCCACCUCCAAAUACCAGCACGUUGGGGGCCAGGGUUUCAACAUAUGAAUCUGGGGGGGACACACACAUUCAGUUCGUAACAGCCACUGAGUCAGUCAGUGGUGAUGAUGAUGUGCCCUAGCAUUUGAGAGCCGUGGCAGUCUAUGGAGGUUGCGGAAUCUGAUUGUUCCAGCUUUGUCCAUGCAUGUCCUUGGGCUGUUCUUGAGGAAAGUUUCAUAGACAAGGAGAAAAUAACAUGUUUACAGAGUGCUUUGAGCUGCUGGGCACCCCAGAUGCUGUCUCAGCAUUUCCCAGAUGGCAGGCCUUGAAAUCAGUGUCCCAAACCAAGUAGGGGGCUGCUUGUGACUAAUUAUUGCUGGAAAAGAGAUGGCUGGUAAUAUUCUUGUGCAUCAUCAGCCUUUGCAGGGAGAAUGUGUAUUGGUUUGACUCAAAAAGACUGAACUCUAGUAGGAGAGACUGAAGUUAGACACCUUGAAGAACUUCCAGGCUGUUACGUGUCUUACUAAUUUUUUGAGUCAAAAAGGAGUAGGUAAAGGCAGCCAGGUCUGGAAGCCAGGGUCACACACGGCUACGUUGGAUCUUUCGUAGCAGCUGGACAUGUACUUCAGCAAACUAACUUCAUAAGCAUUCAUUACCUGUGUGGCUGGGACGCUAACAACCAUCAUCCAACAUCACUUUGCUGUCUGUCUUAGCAAGAAGGAAACAAAGGGAAGGAAGAGAUUUCAUGUUUUUCUAAUAGAACGAGGUCGGGGCGGGGGUGGAAAAUGAUUUCAGCCCAGCACUUCCAAGCUGCUGUCACAGCCAUCCCUCCCCUCAAAGCAGCAAGAACUGCAAAGCCAAAUUCGAUAAAGAUGAAGAACAGCGUGUGUGAGCUGCUCUGGAAUGAGCCCGUCAUUCCCAGUGAGGCCCAAGGGGAGAGCAAGAUGAUGGGCUCCUGAGUUCCGCCACCGUUUUGAGAUGGUGGCCUCUUCUGGCUCUGGAGAUGGAAAGGCAGCAACAAUCAGAGGUGAAGGCUGUCAUGGGGCUGGGCCUCAGAGGCUCUCAGAGCAGCCAGGGUUGUGACAGGUGUCAAUCAGGGCUGACAGUCUCCAGGUCAAGCUGCUGCAGCUCUGCUACCUUGGAGUGGCAGGUGGGGGGAGCGAGAGAGAGGGAAGGCAGGAGGAUGGGAAGCUGCUUUUCGGAGGCAUCGGGUUCUUGAUCUGCUUUAGCUCUGAGCAGCUGUUUGCCCCCAGGCUGGUUGCUGCUCCUCCGCAAGCCUCUAUUUCCUUAUCUGUAACAGGCAGGGGUGGUCAGACUAGUGGUUCUUCAACCUGACGGGGCUGGGGUCCCGGCAUUGCUACUGUUAAAAAGGUUCCCCAGAACAUUCUCACUCUUUGGGCUGAGGACCACUGGCUUGGAGUCUGCACGGCUGAGCCUAGGGCCUCAGUGAUCGCUAAAGACUCUCCAAACGAGGAUACAAAACCAUACUGCAACACCCUAGCCUGUCCCUUACCAGGGCUCCCGGGAUCUCUCCACCAGGAACAACAGAGAGCGCUUGGAAUCCCUGUAAGGUGGGGUCAUGCUGGCACCCCUCGACAGCCAUGAAGAGGUAGUUAUCAGAGUUUGCAGGGUUCCCUGGCCCGGCACUGCAACGCAACGCGCAAGUCUCGGAAGGACUUCUGAUAGAUCACUGCUUCUCUCUCUCUGGUGCCUUGGGGAAGGGAGAUCAGGAUUAUGCAAGGACUGCGGGGAACCAGGCAGGUCCCAGCCCGGGUUCCUGUCGCUCAGGGGUCUGCAGCAUCAGCACUGAGCAGCUCCAGGCUUGUUUACCCAUCUGUGAAAUGCAGCUGAGAAUCCUACCUGCCUCACAGGUGAGGGUGAAUGACAGCAGUGCCUGGUGCAUGGUAAUGAAGCCCACUGUGCUUGUUAUUGGCUCUCUGAUUGAAUGAUGCCCUCCUGGAGGGCACAGCUGGCCAGUGCUGGGCUGAGCUUGCACACCCGGCAAGCCGGAGAGCAGGCUGUCCACACACAUCAUUGAAUGUAUGGAAGGAAAGAAAGGAGGGGAGCAGGGAAGAAGAGAUAAAGUGGGGUGGUGCUUACUACUUCUAGAACCUGACCAGCAGUAGAAUGUGCCCAGGAAGCUUUGAGGUGGCCCCUGCAGGGAUGUGGCCCCACCGAGUUGGCCUAGACACAAGUGAAGAUGGAGGAGGAGGACAAGGAGGGCUGACACGGGGACAUCCCUCCUUCCAUCUCCUAAAAACCAAAUAUUUGCCCCAACAAGUGGAAUUCAACAUGGAACACCAUGGGUACCCCAAGGGUUGGUGUCAGAGCUCAGCUGGUUUUACGAACUUGAAAACAACUCAGGCUGGGCGUGGUGCCUCAUGCCUGUAAUCCCAGCACUUUGGGAGGCAGAGGUGGGAGGAUUGCUUGAGUCCAGGAGUUCAAGACCAGCCUGGCCAACAUAGUGAGACCCUGUCUCUUCCAAAAAAAACAAAAAACAAAAAUUAGCCAGGUGCGGUGGCGUGUGCCUGUGGUCCUAGCUACUCUUGAGGCUGAGGUGGGAGGGUCAUUUGAGCCCCAGGACUUCAAGGUAGCAGUGAGCUGUGAUCAUGCCAUGGCACUCCAGCCUGGGCGACAGGGCGAGACCCUGCCUUAAAAAAAAAAGAAAAUGACAACCCUUUUACUUUUUUUUUUUUCUUUUGCUGUCACAUCAAAGCUAUUUUGUUAGUAUAUGUUCAAAAAAUGUUUUUUAAUCUCUGAAAUUAUAGCUUCUCUAAGUGUUCUUGUUGUCGUAAAUUACAUUGUGAUUCCCAAGCCAA